GCAUUCUGAACUUGAGUGCACCAUCCUCUUGAUGUUUCUGAUGUACAAGAGGGUCGUGUAACAGUAGAUGCAACUUCCAAGUCACAAUUUGCAUCAUCAAUUCUUUGCAGAAGCGGAUGGAAGUCAAAACCAGAUGACAUUGAAGUUUUAUCCCCAGGAUUAGAAGACUUGUCAAGAAAGUUAACAGUAUGGGCUGAUUGGUG
rnacentral:misc_RNA from 1 species